GUACACAAAAAUGCACAUAUUGUGAGCUCGAUGAGUAGGGCGGGACACGUGGUAUCCUGUCUGAAUAUGGGGGGACCAUCCUCCAAGGCUAAAUACUCCUGACUGACCGAUAGUGAACCAGUACCGUGAGGGAAAGGCGAAAAGAACCCCGGCGAGGGGAGUGAAAAAGAACCUGAAACCGUGUACGUACAAGCAGUGGGAGCCUCUUUAUGGGGUGACUGCGUACCUUUUGUAUAAUGGGUCAGCGACUUAUAUUCUGUAGCAAGGUUAACCGAAUAGGGGAGCCGAAGGGAAACCGAGUCUUAACUGGGCGUUAAGUUGCAGGGUAUAGACCCGAAACCCGGUGAUCUAGCCAUGGGCAGGUUGAAGGUUGGGUAACACUAACUGGAGGACCGAACCGACUAAUGUUGAAAAAUUAGCGGAUGACUUGUGGCUGGGGGUGAAAGGCCAAUCAAACCGGGAGAUAGCUGGUUCUCCCCGAAAGCUAUUUAGGUAGCGCCUCGUGAAUUCAUCUCCGGGGGUAGAGCACUGUUUCGGCAAGGGGGUCAUCCCGACUUACCAACCCGAUGCAAACUGCGAAUACCGGAGAAUGUUAUCACGGGAGACACACGGCGGGUGCUAACGUCCGUCGUGAAGAGGGAAACAACCCAGACCGCCAGCUAAGGUCCCAAAGUCAUGGUUAAGUGGGAAACGAUGUGGGAAGGCCCAGACAGCCAGGAUGUUGGCUUAGAAGCAGCCAUCAUUUAAAGAAAGCGUAAUAGCUCACUGGUCGAGUCGGCCUGCGCGGAAGAUGUAACGGGGCUAAACCAUGCACCGAAGCUGCGGCAGCGACACUAUGUGUUGUUGGGUAGGGGAGCGUUCUGUAAGCCUGUGAAGGUGGCCUGUGAGGGUUGCUGGAGGUAUCAGAAGUGCGAAUGCUGACAUAAGUAACGAUAAAGCGGGUGAAAAGCCCGCUCGCCGGAAGACCAAGGGUUCCUGUCCAACGUUAAUCGGGGCAGGGUGAGUCGACCCCUAAGGCGAGGCCGAAAGGCGUAGUCGAUGGGAAACAGGUUAAUAUUCCUGUACUUGGUGUUACUGCGAAGGGGGGACGGAGAAGGCUAUGUUGGCCGGGCGACGGUUGUCCCGGUUUAAGCGUGUAGGCUGGUUUUCCAGGCAAAUCCGGAAAACCAAGGCUGAGGCGUGAUGACGAGGCACUACGGUGCUGAAGCGACAAAUGCCCUGCUUCCAGGAAAAGCCUCUAAGCAUCAGGUAACAUCAAAUCGUACCCCAAACCGACACAGGUGGUCAGGUAGAGAAUACCAAGGCGCUUGAGAGAACUCGGGUGAAGGAACUAGGCAAAAUGGUGCCGUAACUUCGGGAGAAGGCACGCUGAUAUGUAGGUGAAGCGACUUGCUCGUGGAGCUGAAAUCAGUCGAAGAUACCAGCUGGCUGCAACUGUUUAUUAAAAACACAGCACUGUGCAAACACGAAAGUGGACGUAUACGGUGUGACGCCUGCCCGGUGCCGGAAGGUUAAUUGAUGGGGUUAGCGGUAACGCGAAGCUCUUGAUCGAAGCCCCGGUAAACGGCGGCCGUAACUAUAACGGUCCUAAGGUAGCGAAAUUCCUUGUCGGGUAAGUUCCGACCUGCACGAAUGGCGUAAUGAUGGCCAGGCUGUCUCCACCCGAGACUCAGUGAAAUUGAACUCGCUGUGAAGAUGCAGUGUACCCGCGGCAAGACGGAAAGACCCCGUGAACCUUUACUAUAGCUUGACACUGAACAUUGAGCCUUGAUGUGUAGGAUAGGUGGGAGGCUUUGAAGUGUGGACGCCAGUCUGCAUGGAGCCGACCUUGAAAUACCACCCUUUAAUGUUUGAUGUUCUAACGUUGGCCCGUAAUCCGGGUUGCGGACAGUGUCUGGUGGGUAGUUUGACUGGGGCGGUCUCCUCCUAAAGAGUAACGGAGGAGCACGAAGGUUGGCUAAUCCUGGUCGGACAUCAGGAGGUUAGUGCAAUGGCAUAAGCCAGCUUGACUGCGAGCGUGACGGCGCGAGCAGGUGCGAAAGCAGGUCAUAGUGAUCCGGUGGUUCUGAAUGGAAGGGCCAUCGCUCAACGGAUAAAAGGUACUCCGGGGAUAACAGGCUGAUACCGCCCAAGAGUUCAUAUCGACGGCGGUGUUUGGCACCUCGAUGUCGGCUCAUCACAUCCUGGGGCUGAAGUAGGUCCCAAGGGUAUGGCUGUUCGCCAUUUAAAGUGGUACGCGAGCUGGGUUUAGAACGUCGUGAGACAGUUCGGUCCCUAUCUGCCGUGGGCGCUGGAGAACUGAGGGGGGCUGCUCCUAGUACGAGAGGACCGGAGUGGACGCAUCACUGGUGUUCGGGUUGUCAUGCCAAUGGCACUGCCCGGUAGCUAAAUGCGGAAGAGAUAAGUGCUGAAAGCAUCUAAGCACGAAACUUGCCCCGAGAUGAGUUCUCC
rnacentral:rRNA from 1 species